GCUGACAUCACAGUGAUACUGAAACCUGAAGCCGCUGAUUAAAAACUUUAUAUUGGAUGUUUAGAAGAAACACGAACUGUUUGAAAGUGUCUGCGCAACACUGCAUCAGACACACACUGUUCUGCCCCCUGUGGGAUUUUGCUCUUUAAAGUGAAACCAGAAGUGUUUGUUUAUUUUGAUCUGUUUGUUGUUGUGUGACGCCCCCAAGCGUGCCAACAAAACAGGAGAAGUGUUACGACCCUCACGACCCAACGCUCAAAUUUGUCGAUAAAGAGGAUGAUUUAGACUUCUUGUGUGAAGGCUUCAAAUCUCUCAGAGCUCAGAUGUCCUGUGGUCACGCUGUGACCCCGACCUCUCUCACCAACUGGUGUCGCAGGUUGUUGGACCAGGGUGAAAGCAGAUUUGUGUGUGGCGGGUCUGGUUGUAGUGCUGAGUGGAGUUUUUCAGAGGUCUGUAAAAUGGCUCUGCUGACCCCGGAAGAAACGGAGCAUUUUCAGAAGACUUUGGCAGUCAACACUAACAGGCAGACACUUAUUACUAAAGCAUGUCCUGGAUGCAGAUCCACUGUGAUGAGAGAGAAUGGAUCAGACUUGAAUGUCCUCUGUGAAGUGUGCACAGCAGUAAAAGGACGGCCGUUUGAAUUCUGUUGGCAGUGUUUGAGGGAGUGGAAGGGUGCACGGCCUCGGAAGGACCGCUGUGGAAAUUAUGGC